CGGAGGCGGAUCAGCACUUCCACGUCCGCUACAACAGCCUGUCUUCUGCUAACUCUGACUGUGAGACUGACGGCGACCAGAGUUCCUCCGGGCUUCAGGAUCCGCUGGACGCCAGCAGCUUUAACUCCCCAGCAUCCCCUCCAAACACGCAAACCAGCAGCCCCGCAGGGAACGGUCUCCCCAUCCCAGCCCUGCGCUUCCCUUCGAGUAUCGCAGUUCUCAGUAACAC